GAUGAACGCUGGCGGCGUGCCUAAUACAUGCAAGUCGAGCGAACAGACGAGGAGCUUGCUCCUCUGACGUUAGCGGCGGACGGGUGAGUAACACGUGGAUAACCUACCUAUAAGACUGGGAUAACUUCGGGAAACCGGAGCUAAUACCGGAUAAUAUAUUGAACCGCAUGGUGCAAUAGUGAAAGACGGUUUUGCUGUCACUUAUAGAUGGAUCCGCGCCGCAUUAGCUAGUUGGUAGGGUAGCGGCUUACCAAGGCGACGACGGGUAGCCGACAUGAGAGGGUAGACGGCCACAUGGGGACUGAGAUAGGGACCAGACUGCUACGGGAGGCAACAGUGGGGAAUAUUGCACAAUGGGCGGGAGCCUGAUGCAGCAAUGCCGUGUGCGUGAUGACGGUCUUCGGGUUGUAAACCGCUGUCGCCUGUGGCGAAGCGUGAGUGACGGUAAUGAGUAAAGAAGCACCGGCUAACUACGUG
rnacentral:rRNA from 1 species